rnacentral:rRNA from 1 species
GGGACGAACACCGAUAUGCUUCGGGGAGCUGUAAGCAAGCUUUGAUCCGGAGAUUUCCGAAUGGGGAAACCCACUGCUCGUAAUGGAGCAGUAUCCAUAUCUGAAUUCAUAGGAUAUGAGAAGGCAGACCCGGGGAACUGAAACAUCUAAGUACCCGGAGGAAGAGAAAGCAAAUGCGAUUCCCUGAGUAGCGGCGAGCGAAACGGG